rnacentral:rRNA from 1 species
CUAGAUACAAGCGAGCGGCGGACGGGUGAGUAACACGUGGGUAACCUGCCCAAGAGACUGGGAUAACACCUGGAAACAGAUGCUAAUACCGGAUAACAACACUAGACGCAUGUCUAGAGUUUGAAAGAUGGUUCUGCUAUCACUCUUGGAUGGACCUGCGGUGCAUUAGCUAGUUGGUAAGGUAACGGCUUACCAAGGCAAUGAUGCAUAGCCGAGUUGAGAGACUGAUCGGCCACAUUGGGACUGAGACACGGCCCAAACUCCUACGGGAGGCAGCAGUAGGGAAUCUUCCACAAUGGACGAAAGUCUGAUGGAGCAACGCCGCGUGAGUGAAGAAGGGUUUCGGCUCGUAAAGCUCUGUCGGUAGUGAAGAAAGAUAGAGGUAGUAACUGGCCUUUAUUUGACGGUAAUUACUUAGAAAGUCACGGCUAACUACGUGCCAGCAGCCGCGGUAAUACGUAGGUGGCAAGCGUUGUCCGGAUUUAUUGGGCGUAAAGCGAGUGCAGGCGGUUCAAUAAGUCUGAUGUGAAAGCCUUCGGCUCAACCGGAGAAUUGCAUCAGAAACUGUUGAACUUGAGUGCAGAAGAGGAGAGUGGAACUCCAUGUGUAGCGGUGGAAUGCGUAGAUAUAUGGAAGAACACCAGUGGCGAAGGCGGCUCUCUGGUCUGCAACUGACGCUGAGGCUCGAAAGCAUGGGUAGCGAACAGGAUUAGAUACCCUGGUAGUCCAUGCCGUAAACGAUGAGUGCUAAGUGUUGGGAGGUUUCCGCCUCUCAGUGCUGCAGCUAACGCAUUAAGCACUCCGCCUGGGGAGUACGACCGCAAGGUUGAAACUCAAAGGAAUUGACGGG